rnacentral:rRNA from 1 species
AGAGUUUGAUCAUGGCUCAGGACGAACGCUGGCGGCGUGCCUAAUACAUGCAAGUAGGACGCACAGUUUAUACCGUAGCUUGCUACACCAUAGACUGUGAGUUGCGAACGGGUGAGUAACGCGUAGGUAACCUGCCUAUUAGAGGGGGAUAACUAUUGGAAACGAUAGCUAAUACCGCAUAACAGUAUGUAACACAUGUUAGAUGCUUGAAAGAUGCAAUUGCAUCGCUAGUAGAUGGACCUGCGUUGUAUUAGCUAGUAGGUAGGGUAAAGGCCUACCUAGGCAACGAUACAUAGCCGACCUGAGAGGGUGAUCGGCCACACUGGGACUGAGACACGGCCCAGACUCCUACGGGAGGCAGCAGUAGGGAAUCUUCGGCAAUGGGGGGAACCCUGACCGAGCAACGCCGCGUGAGUGAAGAAGGUUUUCGGAUCGUAAAGCUCUGUUGUUAAGGAAGAACGAGUGUGAGAAUGGAAAGUUCAUACUGUGACGGUACUUAACCAGAAAGGGACGGCUAACUACGUGCCAGCAGCCGCGGUAAUACGUAGGUCCCGAGCGUUGUCCGGAUUUAUUGGGCGUAAAGCGAGCGCAGGCGGUUAGAAAAGUCUGAAGUGAAAGGCAGUGGCUCAACCAUUGUAGGCUUUGGAAACUGUUUAACUUGAGUGCAGAAGGGGAGAGUGGAAUUCCAUGUGUAGCGGUGAAAUGCGUAGAUAUAUGGAGGAACACCGGUGGCGAAAGCGGCUCUCUGGUCUGUAACUGACGCUGAGGCUCGAAAGCGUGGGGAGCGAACAGGAUUAGAUACCCUGGUAGUCCACGCCGUAAACGAUGAGUGCUAGGUGUUAGGUCCUUUCCGGGACUUAGUGCCGUAGCUAACGCAUUAAGCACUCCGCCUGGGGAGUACGACCGCAAGGUUGAAACUCAAAGGAAUUGACGGGGGCCCGCACAAG